GAGCGUUCUGUAAGCCGUUGAAGGUGUCCUGUGAGGGGUGCUGGAGGUAUCAGAAGUGCGAAUGCUGACAUAAGUAACGAUAAAGCGGGUGAAAAGCCCGCUCGCCGGAAGACCAAGGGUUCCUGUCCAACGUUAAUCGGGGCAGGGUGAGUCGACCCCUAAGGCGAGGCCGAAAGGCGUAGUCGAUGGGAAACGGGUUAAUAUUCCCGUACUUGGUGUUACUGCGAAGGGGGGACGGAGAAGGCUAUGUUGGCCGGGCGACGGUUGUCCCGGUUUAAGCGUGUAGGUGUGUGUUCCAGGUAAAUCCGGUUCACUUUAACACUGAGGCGUGAUGACGAGGCACCACGGUGCUGAAGCAACAAAUGCCCUGCUUCCAGGAAAAGCCUCUAAGCAUCAGGUAACAUCAAAUCGUACCCCAAACCGACACAGGUGGUCAGGUAGAGAAUACCAAGGCGCUUGAGAGAACUCGGGUGAAGGAACUAGGCAAAAUGGUGCCGUAACUUCGGGAGAAGGCACGCUGACACGUAGGUGAAGUGAUUUACUCAUGGAGCUGAAGUCAGUCGAAGAUACCAGCUGGCUGCAACUGUUUAUUAAAAACACAGCACUGUGCAAACACGAAAGUGGACGUAUACGGUGUGACGCCUGCCCGGUGCCGGAAGGUUAAUUGAUGGGGUCAGCGCAAGCGAAGCUCCUGAUCGAAGCCCCGGUAAACGGCGGCCGUAACUAUAACGGUCCUAAGGUAGCGAAAUUCCUUGUCGGGUAAGUUCCGACCUGCACGAAUGGCGUAAUGAUGGCCAGGCUGUCUCCACCCGAGACUCAGUGAAAUUGAACUCGCUGUGAAGAUGCAGUGUACCCGCGGCAAGACGGAAAGACCCCGUGAACCUUUACUAUAGCUUGACACUGAACAUUGAGCCUUGAUGUGUAGGAUAGGUGGGAGGCUUUGAAGCGUGGACGCCAGUCUGCGUGGAGCCGACCUUGAAAUACCACCCUUUAAUGUUUGAUGUUCUAACGUGGACCCGUAAUCCGGGUUGCGGACAGUGUCUGGUGGGUAGUUUGACUGGGGCGGUCUCCUCCUAAAGAGUAACGGAGGAGCACGAAGGUUGGCUAAUCCUGGUCGGACAUCAGGAGGUUAGUGCAAUGGCAUAAGCCAGCUUGACUGCGAGCGUGACGGCGCGAGCAGGUGCGAAAGCAGGUCAUAGUGAUCCGGUGGUUCUGAAUGGAAGGGCCAUCGCUCAACGGAUAAAAGGUACUCCGGGGAUAACAGGCUGAUACCGCCCAAGAGUUCAUAUCGACGGCGGUGUUUGGCACCUCGAUGUCGGCUCAUCACAUCCUGGGGCUGAAGUAGGUCCCAAGGGUAUGGCUGUUCGCCAUUUAAAGUGGUACGCGAGCUGGGUUUAGAACGUCGUGAGACAGUUCGGUCCCUAUCUGCCGUGGGCGCUGGAAGACUGAGGGGGGCUGCUCCUAGUACGAGAGGACCGGAGUGGACGCAUCACUGGUGUUCGGGUUGUCAUGCCAAUGGCACUGCCCGGUAGCUAAAUGCGGAAAAGAUAAGUGCUGAAAGCAUCUAAGCACGAAACUUGCCCC
rnacentral:rRNA from 1 species